rnacentral:rRNA from 1 species
UACGGAGGGGGCUAGCGUUGUUCGGAAUUACUGGGCGUAAAGCGCACGUAGGCGGAUGCUUAAGUCGGGGGUGAAAUCCCGGGGCUCAACCCCGGAACUGCCUUCGAUACUGGGUGUCUGGAGUCCGGGAGAGGCGAGUGGAAUUCCGAGUGUAGAGGUGAAAUUCGUAGAUAUUCGGAAGAACACCAGUGGCGAAGGCGGCCAACUGGCCCAUUACUGACGCUGAGGUGCGAAAGCGUGGGGAGCAAACAGG